rnacentral:rRNA from 1 species
GACGGGCAAUUUGUGCAUAUAUAAAAAUUAAAUUCAAAUUAAUUAAUUUAUUAAUUUUACUUUUAAAUCCUAAAAAUUUAAUUUUUUUUUAAAAAAAAAUUUUUAAAUGCAACUCAUUUUAAUCUUUAAAAUACUACAUAUUGAUCUGAAAUAAUUUUUAAUAAAAUAUUUUAAAUAAAAUAAUUUUAUUUAUUUUUUUAACGAACAUACAUAAAUUAAUAUUUAAAGUUUAAUUUAACGUGGAUUAUCAAUUAUUAAACAAGUUUCCCUAAAUAAAUUUAUAUACUGCCAUAUUUAAAUAUUUCAUUAAUUUAAUAAAAUAUUAAUAAAUUUAAUUUUAAUACUAGGGUAUCUAAUCCUAGUUUAA